GAUGAACGCUAGCUACAGGCUUAACACAUGCAAGUCGAGGGGAAACGAUAUUGGAAGCUUGCUUCCGAUAGGCGUCGACCGGCGCACGGGUGAGUAACGCGUAUCCAACCUGCCCAUCACUUGGGAAUAACCUUGCGAAAGUAAGACUAAUGCCCAAUGACAUUUAUAGAAGGCAUCUGAAAUGAAUUAAAGAUUUAUCGGUGAUGGAUGGGGAUGCGUCUGAUUAGCUUGUUGGCGGGGUAACGGCCCACCAAGGCAACGAUCAGUAGGGGUUCUGAGAGGAAGGUCCCCCCACAUUGGAACUGAGACACGGUCCAAACUCCUACGGGAGCAGCAGUGAGGAAUAUUGGUCAAUGGGCGAGAGCCUGAACCAGCCAAGUAGCGUGCAGGAAGACGGCCCUAUGGGUUGUAAACUGCUUUUANAGGGGAAUAAAGUGAGAGUCGUGACUCUUUUUGCAUGUACCUUAUGAAUUAAGGACCGGCUAAAUUCCCGUGCCAGCAGCCG
rnacentral:rRNA from 1 species